rnacentral:rRNA from 1 species
UGGGGAAUAUUGGACAAUGGGCGCAAGCCUGAUCCAGCCAUGCCGCGUGAGUGAUGAAGGCCUUAGGGUUGUAAAGCUCUUUCGGCGGGGACGAUAAUGACGGUACCCGCAGAAGAAGCCCCGGCUAACUUCGUGCCAGCAGCCGCGGUAAUACGAAGGGGGCUAGCGUUGCUCGGAAUCACUGGGCGUAAAGGGCGCGUAGGCGGACAUUUAAGUCGGGGGUGAAAGCCCAGGGCUCAACCCUGGAAUUGCCUCCGAUACUGGGUGUCUCGAGACCGGAAGAGGUGAGUGGAACUGCGAGUGUAGAGGUGAAAUUCGUAGAUAUUCGCAAGAACACCAGUGGCGAAGGCGGCUCACUGGUCCGGUUCUGACGCUGAGGCGCGAAAGCGUGGGGAGCAAACAGGAUUAGAUACCCUGGUAGUCCACGCCGUAAACGAUGGAUGCUAGCCGUUGGCAGGCUUGCCUGUCAGUGGCGCAGCUAACGCUUUAAGCAUCCCGCCUGGGGAGUACGGCCGCAAGGUUAAAACUUAAAUGAAUUGACGGGGUCAUAGCUGUUUCCU